ACCCCAUGUUCCGGGUUUACGUCUUAGCAAUCUCAUAAAUAUGGUUUCUGCUUGAUCAUUGGCAUGAUGUGCUGUGCAAAUAUGCCUGAUAUUGUGUGUAAUACAAGCUCUAGUCAAAACUUGAUAUCGAUGCUCUCGAGCUAUUGUCUCAAGGUUUGUUAAAGAGUGAACAUCAUCAUUACCCCAAUUGAUGUUGAGAUAAACAUUUGGUAUUAACAUACGAUUCAAAUUCCAGAUUGUUUGUAAAGCCUCUUCAGUGCUAUUCUUACGAAUUCGAUGAUCAACCACAAAGGCAAUAAAUUGAUUAGGCCAUCCAAACAUAAUUUGCGAUUCCUUCAUGAACCAAGAAAGUAGCAUGCUGUCCACUCCCCCAGACACAGCUAUCCCUAACUUAUUAGUCUUAAUUAUGAUACAAUACAAAGUGUUCAUACCAAGCCGCCUGUGACCAACCCUUCGUCGUAUACUAACAAGACUGUUAUAGAAUUCUUUCAAUUUGAUAGUAUCCAUUGAUUUUGAGUUUUUCUAAU